UCUGCCUCAUCUCCAGUGUGCAAAAAUGCAUGUUGUUGAGUGUGAGCCUAACCUCCAUCCAUGUAAGUCAACAUUAUUAUGGCCAAACGGAAACACGAUGUGUCACAAAGAACCUCGAGUGGACACAUGUCCGGGUGAUUCUGGUGGUGGAGUGAUAGCCAAAAACAACAAGAUUCAUGGUGUGUAUGUUGGUGGUGAAAAAUGUGCCUGUACCGGACCAGCUAUUUCUCUGAAGGUCUGCUCUUACAUUGGUUGGAUAAAUCAAGUCAUUAAUGGAAUGGAAAUGGAAAAUAAUCAAAUGAAAAUAACAUCCAAAAUAAACAGUCCGCUCUGGAAGAAA